rnacentral:rRNA from 1 species
GAGACAGCAGUAGCCGCGGUAAUACGUAGGUGGCGAGCGUUGUCCGGAAUUAUUGGGCGUAAAGGGAGCGCAGGCGGACAUAUAAGUCCAUCUUAAAAGUGCGGGGCUCAACCCCGUGAGGGGAUGGAAACUGUAUGCCUUGAGUGCAGGAGAGGAAAGCGGAAUUCCCAGUGUAGCGGUGAAAUGCGUAGAUAUUAGGAAGAACACCAGUGGCGAAGGCGACUUUCUGGACGAAAACUGACGCUGAGGCGCGAAAGCCAGGGGAGCGAACGGGAUUAGAUACCCCAGUAGUCCCUGUCUCUUAUACA